rfam:Felis catus isolate Cinnamon breed Abyssinian chromosome E1, whole genome shotgun sequence.
GCCUGGGUGGCUCAGUUGGUUGAGCGUCCGACUUCAGCUCAGGUAAUGAUCUUCCAGCUCGUGGGUUCGAGCCCCGCAUCAGGCU